UACGAAGGGGGCUAGCGUUGUUCGGAAUUACUGGGCGUAAAGCGCACGUAGGCGGACUAUUAAGUCAGGGGUGAAAUCCCGGGGCUCAACCCCGGAACUGCCUUUGAUACUGGUAGUCUCGAGUCCGGAAGAGGUGAGUGGAAUUCCGAGUGUAGAGGUGAAAUUCGUAGAUAUUCGGAGGAACACCAGUGGCGAAGGCGGCUCACUGGUCCGGUACUGACGCUGAAGUGCGAAAGCGUGGGGAGCAAACAGG
rnacentral:rRNA from 1 species